UACGUAGGUGGCAAGCGUUGUCCGGAAUUACUGGGCGUAAACAGCGCGCAGGCGGCUGGUCAAGUCCGAUGUGAAAGCUUCCGGCUUAACUGGGAAAUUGCAUCGGAAACUGAUCGGCUUGAAGGUGGGAGAGGGUAGUGGAAUUCCCGGUGUAGUGGUGAAAUGCGUAGAUAUCGGGAGGAACACCAGUGGCGAAGGCGACUACCUGGCCCACUCUUGACGCUGAGGCGCGAAAGCUAGGGGAGCGAACGGG
rnacentral:rRNA from 1 species